rnacentral:rRNA from 1 species
CCUACGGGUGGCAGCAGUGGGGAAUAUUGCGCAAUGGGCGAAAGCCUGACGCAGCGACGCCGCGUGAGGGAUGAAGGUCUUCGGAUCGUAAACCUCUGUCAGCAGGGAAGAACGGUCCCUGUGCUACUCAGCAGUGAAUUGACGGUACCUGCAAAGGAAGCACCGGCUAACUCCGUGCCAGCAGCCGCGGUAAUACGGAGGGUGCGAGCGUUAAUCGGAAUUACUGGGCGUAAAGCGCUCGUAGGCGGUAUGUCAAGUCAAGGGUGAAAUCCCCGCGCUCAACGUGGGAACUGCCUUUGAAACUGGCAAACUGGAGUGUGUGAGAGGAUAGUGGAAUUCCAGGUGUAGGAGUGAAAUCCGUAGAUAUCUGGAGGAACAUCAGUGGCGAAGGCGACUAUCUGGAACAUAACUGACGCUGAGGAGCGAAAGCGUGGGUAGCAAACAGGAUUAGAUACCCCAGUAGUC